GCGAGGGUGGCGAAAUUGGCAUACGCACUAGACUUAGGAUCUAGCGUCUCUGACAUGAGGGUUCGAGUCCCUCCCUUCGCACCA
rnacentral:tRNA from 1 species